GCCCAUGGGGAAGCGUUUUUCUAUAUAUUAUUGUUAUAAUUUAUUAAAUUUAUAUAAUGUGGAUAUAUAUGACUGUUAGCUGCAGCUUGCAAUUGCUGUCCAAGGCACAGCUGCCAGAGGAAGGCGGGGAACUGUGGCAACUUUGGGGUGUGAGGAGAAGUGCUUGGCACAAAGCCAUGUCUUUUGGGGCGUCUAUUUCACAUCUUGUGUGAAGCUGCUGGGAAAAGACUUGGUUCGUGGCUCUUAUUUCCCAUCGACUUCAGUGGGGCUUAAGUGGGCCUCGCAUUUCCUCCUCAAAAUUGCAAUUAUUUGCUGCGGGAGAAGGUCUUCUUACUCGAGACUGAGCCCCCCUUGAAAAGUCGAGAACUUAAAACUCCGAGGAAAGGUGCAGUCUUCCACAGGUCUGCUCAGAAGUACCGGUAAAUCUCAUUGUGUUUAAUGGGGAUUCAUUCCACAGAAGUACAUAGGAUGGUAGCUCAGCAACUCUCCCAUACAAUCUCUGCUCCUCGCCAUUGGGAAAGAAAUGCUGUUAUUAAUGCUUACCUGGGUUGAAGGGAAAGGGCAGUUUCCACAUUUUGCAAUAAGCAGCAAAACAGUGAUUUUAAAGUAGGUUUUAACCGUGGCACCUGCUUCAGUGGAGACUUUCACUGUUUAUUACUUUUUCUCCCUUUAAAUACAUUAAGUUUGGUUUAAUUUAUUUUCAUAUUAACUAGGGCUUGUUACCUGCUUGGCAAAAAUAAAGCCAUUGAUUUAAAUUUUUCUUCUUAAGUUUUUGACAGUGGUUAGAACCUGAAUAUUUGCGAAAGCAAUAGCUAUAUAUGUUUAGAUAGACACACCUCCCUCUGCCCUUUUUACAAUUAUGCUGCUCUGUGUAGUGGCACCAAAGAAUGUUUAUGUAGUCCAUAAAACUUUACACUGCUUGAUUGUAAUAAAAAAAGCACAAAGAUAAAACAAGAAAAUUUUAAAAAAUCACAGUAGUAUUUUAAAAUAUACAAAAGUUAAAAUACUAAACAGAUUAUGUAGCUAGUGGUGAUUUAGUAGACAUUCCACAUGGAUUUGUAUAACUUCGAUUUAGCACCCACCUUCCCAGCCUCAAACUGUUGUCUGAUCUUUAUGCUAACCCUUUUUUAUUUCUUUAGACAAUUUUUCAUGUGACUGAUAUGUUUGGUUUAGAAACUUUGAAAAAUUAAGUGAACAAAGAAGUUACUGCGCAGCUGAAAAUCAGAUUUUACUCUAGCACAAAACACAGGCAUAGUUGGGUGUUUAAAUAUUCUCAUUGAUUUUCCAUUUCCUAUUUGUACAGGCACUUCACAAAAGAAAUGCAAAAGGCUAAGAGUAUGCAGCAAUGCCAUAGAACUAGACCGUAUCAUACACGUCUCAGGCAGCAUUUAUCACUUCAAAGCAAUUGUACUUCAUAUCCAUUUCAGGACUAGUGUAUGAGUUGCGGUUACACUAUGUUUACACUAAGGGAGGCUAUGUCAAUAUGGUUAUAAAGUAGUUUCCUUUAAGUGGCUUGCUGAUUUGAACUUCAAGCACUUUAAGAGUAUGAGAGGAGUGCAGGGCAGUGUUAACCACACACCUGGCACUAGUUUUGUAAUUAUGUAAUCAAAAACGUUUUUGAGUGACACAGGCAGGUGGGCAUGAAUGGAAUGAUUUGCUUCUGUGGUAAAGCUUGUCUGUCUUGUUAGCCUCUUAUGCUUCCUUUAAUACGUUGCUUGUACAUAGGUGCACUGCGUGUGUGUGUGUGUGUGUAUAGAUAGAUAGAAUAUCUAUCAUCUAUCUAUCUGCUAUAUACAUAAUGAUCCUUAGGUCUGUCUGACAGAUGUGUCAGAAUCAUUGAAGUAUUUCCAGAACACCCAGAAAUCUGAAAUUGGGAAAAGAUGCACACCAACGCUUCUUAAAUACUAAUAAGGUCUGAAAACAGGGUACUUUAAUUUAUCGCUAUCAAAAUAGAAUAUGAAGUGUGAUGGCAACACAUUGCAAGCCAGGGUGCAAAUGAAGCAGUAUGUUGGGCCAGACUUAGGUAAGGUAAUAAUGGGGUCAAGUCACAUUUCUGUGGGAGUUCACCAGUCCCUGUUUUAAUACUUGGAAGAAAAGGGUGACGUCGCUGGCAGCUGAUAGUGCAAGAGUAAUAGCCAAUUUGCCUUCCAGAAGAUACAGACUCCAACAGGCUUUGGAAUGUACAGCCCUCCAGAUGUUAGACUGCAACUCAAUGAUGUCAAGGGUCUGUGCCAUUUUUGGAGGAUCUCGGGGAAUUGGCCAUGCUGUUGCACAACUGCUAGCACAGAAAGGAUAUUGCCUGGCCAUUAUUGCCAGAAAUCUGGAUAGAGCUCAAACUACUGCAAAGAACUUGGGAGCAGGUCAUCUAGCAUUUAGAUGCGAUGUUUCCAAAGAAGAAGACAUCCAAAAUGUGUUUAAAGAAAUGGAGACAAGUUUAGGUCAAAUAAACUAUCUGGUUAAUGCUGCAGGUAUCAACAGGGAUGGCUUGUUGUUGAGAACCAAGGCUGAUGAUAUGUUAUCCCAGCUUCAAACCAAUCUUUUGGGGACAAUGUUGACAUGCAAAGCUGCUGUGAAGGGUAUGAUUCAGCAGCAAGGUGGAGCUAUUGUUAACGUAGGAAGUAUCGUUGGGCUGAAGGGCAAUUCUGGUCAGAGCGUAUACAGUGCCAGCAAAGCAGGAUUAGUUGGAUUUUCACGCUCUCUUGCUAAAGAAAUAGCAAGAAAGAACAUUCGAGUCAACAUGGUUGCUCCAGGCUUUAUUCACACGGAUAUGACAACACAUUUGAAAGAAGAGCAGUUGAAGAAAACUAUUCCCCUUGGACGAUUUGGGGAGCCUCAAGAAGUUGCCGAAGCUGUUGCAUUUCUUCUGGAGUCUCCGUAUGUAACAGGCCAAGUUCUAGUUAUUGAUGGAGAUUUGUUCUUUCUGCAUAGAAAGCGUAAUGCAGCUUGCCUUCCAAAAGUUGGUCUAUUUUUAGUUCAUUCUGAUCAGCCCAGUAAUCAAAGGUGGAAGCAAGUUUACUUUCAUGUUUAGAAAAAUGACAUAUUCACUGACAUCUGGGGUGUGAGCAUACAAACAGAUCUCUUUUUCACCUCCUGAGUUUUCUUCUACUUCGCCAUCCCACAUGUUUUCCUCUGUUUGUAUGUCACAGGCUUUUCUGCAUUUGUUAAACCAUCAUGCUCUCAAUCUAAUAGUGUGCUGAAGUAUUUGUUUUUAUAGCAACAGCUUUUUAAAAAGGCAAGCAAGGCUGUUAUUUUAUAUUUGAGGCAUGAGUUACCUCUGCUGUGAUCAUGAAUGUAUUGAGCGAAUACAUCUGUUUUCUUCUACUGUUUGACAAGCAAAAUGUUCCUAUAAAUUAUUGGUUAGCACUUAUGACACACCAGUAAUAAAAUUAACCACAAGGAGAAAUCAUCGUAAGGAGAAAACAUUCCAAUCCCUCUGAAGUUACUCUGCUGUCAAAAGCUAUCUCAGUUUUGCUUACAAAACCAUAUUCAAGCCUGAAGGAAGCACGAUUCCUCUCAUUUCACCUACAUGGAGCAGGUAGGAUGCAUUUCCUUUUUUUACUUACUCCCAGGGCUGUUGUGGGUGAAUCAGUAUAAAGUUUAUCAGUUCUUUUAAGCAACUAAUUUUAAACUUGAAUGCUGUUUUCUCCUAAACAACUUGCUUCUCUAGAGAUGCAAACUGAUGGUAGAAGAAAUAUGCGAGGUUUGCUCAUUUAGAACUUGAGAACAAGUUCUAGCUUGUUCUUAAUAUUCAGCUACUUUAUGUUGUUUAGGCUGAUGUGUCAAGAUACCUAAUCUUUGAAUUGGGUCUAAUUGUGCUGCUUCAUCCUAAACUUGAGCUGUAGUAGUUAGUACUUCAGCCUGUGAGUUGUAUCCAGUAGUAGUUAUGUGCUAGUGGAAGAACUUCCUUAAGGCAGGGCCCCUAAAGUUUGCUGAUCCCUCCUAUCCAAAUCAGUGCAGCACCCUGUGCCUCCCUCCAAACGUCUCUGGAGCAACAUGGAACAUGUCAGAGAGCUGUAAGUGAGAGAGGUGAAAUGGAGUGCCUCAUCCUGUACUAGUAGAAGUACUUUCUCUUGCACAAAGCCACUAUUGGGGGCGAUUAGAGCAGGUCCAAUAGAGGCAUCCAAAGCCCUGCUUGUUUCAUUUGUACUAUAUUAGUUUCAAUUAUUGCAGCCUAAGGAUGUGGUCAAACCUGCUUGAAGAAGUGUAGCUAUCUUUGCUGGCUAUACUCUGGGCCUCAGAGGGUUAAGCUGGCCAGGGACUGGCUUCCUUUUUGUUUGAAUUUAUAACUUUAUUCUAACAAGACUCCCACUCUGGUCCUGAGACAGGCUCUGCAUGUGGGUGAAAUGAAGACUGAAGGGUUUUUCACUGUAUUUUUCAGUGGUGACAUAGUGUCUGCCCUGUUGGAUCUCAUGCAUUGUUUGGGGUUUCCUCUCCUUUCGUAGGCCCCAGAACCAAGCAAGCCCCUUUCCUCCCAGCAUUCUACAUGUUAGAGGCAGAUGAUCACAAACACAUCUUUCAGUUGCACAGAUCUUGGUGAACUUGGCAACAGGAUAUGGGAUUCACUCCAGGCAGUUCAGACACUAGAUGCUUUCCCAACUGCAUGCAGCCAAUCCUGACUCCACAAAGAUCUGAGGGUGCGGCACACCUGAAACCCGGCAUUCCAGUCGCACAGGAUACCCCUCAGCUACACCUGUGUUUUGUAGCUUCUCUACAAAUACUGGUGGCUUGUGUGCUUCCUUAGCUAUAAAAAAAGAAAUAACUUUUCUCUCUACCCUCAUUUGAACCAAUAAAAUAUCCCAUACAUA